UCAUCUUCGGGGGUAGAGCACUGUUUCGGCUAGGGGGUCAUCCCGACUUACCAACCCGAUGCAAACUACGAAUACCGAAGAAUGUUAUCACGGGAGACACACGGCGGGUGCUAACGUCCGUCGUGAAGAGGGAAACAACCCAGACCGCCAGCUAAGGUCCCAAAGUCAUGGUUAAGUGGGAAACGAUGUGGGAAGGCACAGACAGCCAGGAUGUUGGCUUAGAAGCAGCCAUCAUUUAAAGAAAGCGUAAUAGCUCACUGGUCGAGUCGGCCUGCGCGGAAGAUGUAACGGGGCUAAACCAUGCACCGAAGCUGCGGCAGCGACACUAUGUGUUGUUGGGUAGGGGAGCGUUCUGUAAGCCUGCGAAGGUGUGCUGUGAGGCAUGCUGGAGGUAUCAGAAGUGCGAAUGCUGACAUAAGUAACGAUAAAGCGGGUGAAAAGCCCGCUCGCCGGAAGACCAAGGGUUCCUGUCCAACGUUAAUCGGGGCAGGGUGAGUCGACCCCUAAGGCGAGGCCGAAAGGCGUAGUCGAUGGGAAACAGGUUAAUAUUCCUGUACUUGGUGUUACUGCGAAGGGGGGACGGAGAAGGCUAUGUUAGCCGGGCGACGGUUGUCCCGGUUUAAGCAUGUAGGCUGGUUNAAAUCGUACCCCAAACCGACACAGGUGGUCAGGUAGAGAAUACCAAGGCGCUUGAGAGAACUCGGGUGAAGGAACUAGGCAAAAUGGUGCCGUAACUUCGGGAGAAGGCACGCUGGUGUGUAGGUGAAGUCCCUGCGGAUGGAGCUGAGACCAGUCGAAGAUACCAGCUGGCUGCAACUGUUUAUUAAAAACACAGCACUGUGCAAACACGAAAGUGGACGUAUACGGUGUGACGCCUGCCCGGUGCCGGAAGGUUAAUUGAUGGGGUUAUCCGUAAGGAGAAGCUCUUGAUCGAAGCCCCGGUAAACGGCGGCCGUAACUAUAACGGUCCUAAGGUAGCGAAAUUCCUUGUCGGGUAAGUUCCGACCUGCACGAAUGGCGUAAUGAUGGCCAGGCUGUCUCCACCCGAGACUCAGUGAAAUUGAACUCGCUGUGAAGAUGCAGUGUACCCGCGGCAAGACGGAAAGACCCCGUGAACCUUUACUAUAGCUUGACACUGAACAUUGAGCCUUGAUGUGUAGGAUAGGUGGGAGGCUUUGAAGCGUGGACGCCAGUCUGCGUGGAGCCAACCUUGAAAUACCACCCUUUAAUGUUUGAUGUUCUAACGUUGGCCCCUUACCGGGGUUGCGGACAGUGUCUGGUGGGUAGUUUGACUGGGGCGGUCUCCUCCCAAAGCGUAACGGAGGAGCACGAAGGUUAGCUAAUCCUGGUCGGACAUCAGGAGGUUAGUGCAAUGGCAUAAGCUAGCUUGACUGCGAGCGUGACGGCGCGAGCAGGUGCGAAAGCAGGUCAUAGUGAUCCGGUGGUUCUGAAUGGAAGGGCCAUCGCUCAACGGAUAAAAGGUACUCCGGGGAUAACAGGCUGAUACCGCCCAAGAGUUCAUAUCGACGGCGGUGUUUGGCACCUCGAUGUCGGCUCAUCACAUCCUGGGGCUGAAGUAGGUCCCAAGGGUAUGGCUGUUCGCCAUUUAAAGUGGUACGCGAGCUGGGUUUAGAACGUCGUGAGACAGUUCGGUCCCUAUCUGCCGUGGGCGCUGGAGAAUUGAGGGGGGCUGCUCCUAGUACGAGAGGACCGGAGUGGACGCAUCACUGGUGUUCGGGUUGUCAUGCCAAUGGCACUGCCCGGUAGCUAAAUGCGGAAGAGAUAAGUGCUGAAAGCAUCUAAGCACGAAACUUGCCCCGAGAUGAGUUCUCCCUGAGACUUUAAGUCUCCUGAAGGAACGUUAAAGACGAUGACGUUGAUAGGCCGGGUGUGUAAGCGCAGCGAUGCGUUGAGCUAACCGGUACUAAUGAACCGUGAGGCUUAACCUU
rnacentral:rRNA from 1 species